rnacentral:rRNA from 1 species
GAUGAACGCUGGCGGCGUGCUUAACACAUGCAAGUCGAACGGAAAGGCUCCUGCUUGCAGGGGUACUCGAGUGGCGAACGGGUGAGUAACACGUGGGUGAUCUGCCCUGCACUUCGGGAUAAGCCUGGGAAACUGGGUCUAAUACCGGAUAGGACCACAUUUUGGAUGGUGUGGUGGAAAGUUUUUCGGUGUGGGAUGAGCACGCGGCCUAUCAGCUUGUUGGUGGGGUAAUGGCCUACCAAGGCGUCGACGGGUAGCCGGCCUGAGAGGGUGUACGGCCACAUUGGGACUGAGAUACGGCCCAGACUCCUACGGGAGGCAGCAGUGGGGAAUAUUGCACAAUGGGCGCAAGCCUGAUGCAGCGACGCCGCGUGGGGGAUGACGGCCUUCGGGUUGUAAACUCCUUUCGCUAGGGACGAAGCGUUUUUGUGACGGUACCUGGAGAAGAAGCACCGGCUAACUACGUG